GAUGAACGCUAGCGAUAGGCUUAACACAUGCAAGUCGAGGGACCGGCGCACGGGUGCGUAACGCGUAUGCAACUUGCCUCACAGAGGGGGAUAACCCGUCGAAAGACGGACUAAUACCGCGUACUGUGAGAUAGGCAUGCGUGCCAUUAGCUAGUUGGUGAGGUAACGGCUCACCAAGGCGACGAUGGGUAGGGGAACUGAGAGGUUGAACCCCUGCAAUGGUAAUGAGACACUGACCAGAUCCCUACGGGAGGCAGCAGUGAGGAAUAUUAGUCAAUGGGCGAGAGCCUGAACCAGCCAAGUGGCGUGAAGGAUGACUGUCUAGGUAUUGUAAACUUCUUUUAGACGGGAAUAUGUACCGUAUGAAUAAGCAUCGGCUAACUCCGUGCCAGCAGCCGCGGUAAUAC
rnacentral:rRNA from 1 species